rnacentral:rRNA from 1 species
GGGGAAUUUUCCGCAAUGGGCGAAAGCCUGACGGAGCAAUACCGCGUGAGGGAAGACUGCCUAUGGGUUGUAAACCUCUUUUUUCAGGGAGGAAUAAAAUGACGUGUACCCUGAAGAAUAAGCAUCGGCUAACUCCGUGCCAGCAGCCGCGGUAAGANCGGAGAAUGCAAGUGUUAUCCGGAAUCACCGGGCGUAAAGCGUCUGUAGGUGGUUUGAUAAGUCAACUGUUAAAUCUUGAGGCUCAACUUCAAAAUCGCAGUCGAAACUAUUAGANCUAGAGUAUAGUAGAGGUAAAGGGAAUUUCCAGUGGAGCGGUGAAAUGCGUAGAGAUUGGAAAGAACACCGAUGGCGAAGGCACUUUACUGGGCUAUUACUAACACUCAGAGACGAAAGCUAGGGUAGCAAAUGGGAUUAGAUACCCC